UACGUAGGUGACGAGCGUUAUCCGGAAUUACUGGGCGUAAAGCGUGCGCAGGCGGCUUCGCAAGUCAGGCGUGAAAUCCCCGGGCUUAACCUGGGAAUGGCGUCUGAAACUACGGAGCUGGAGUGUGGCAGAGGGAGGUAGAAUUCCACGUGUAGCGGUGAAAUGCGUAGAUAUGUGGAGGAAUACCGAUGGCGAAGGCAGCCGUCCUGGGCCGAACACUGACGCUCAUGACACGAAAGGCGUGGGGAGCAAACAGG
rnacentral:rRNA from 1 species